AGAAUAAAAGAAAAUUAAGAACAAAGAAAUUGAUAGUUUUUUUAAGAAUCUAUAUUCAGUCCGUCAAAUUGUCAACAUUGUUUUAGUAUUAAAAAAUCGUCGGCAUCAAAAGUUGUGAUCAAAAUUCCCUUCUAUGAAAAUAGGUUUUAACGAACAGUAGCACAAACAUAGGCUGAUAAUAUUAUGAGAAAUUAUAAUACAUUUUACCUGGUAUUGAUAAAGAUCAAGUUGCACGGUCAACUUUGAUUGAAUAGAUUGUAAUCUGAUCGGUAAUUGGAUUGAUAAUUAAUUUCCCUUUUAUAAAUGCCGCUAUAUAUAUGGUUCUCAUACAACAAUGUAUUUAUUAUUUAGUAGUUAGGUUUGGGGGUAACAAUUUUACGUGAAUCGAAGUCGUGCAUCUGGGUUAAAUGUGUCUGAGAAAUGGGCGGUCAUUAUGAAAACUGAUCAGGAGAAGAAAUACAAUGUCUCCAAUUUAACUUCCAUAAUUACUUUUGUAUUGGACUGGGAUCUUCCCAAUUUGACUACUUUCAAGGGGACCGGAAUGAACUGGCUUUUGACAGCAAUGUUGAGUCAAAUGGAAAAUCUUUGCCUAGCAAUGGAAACGCUACCAUCAAUAUGAGAAUACCAAUAAACAAAACUAGAAACCACAUAGGUGGUAGAGAGAAAUGGAGAAGUCUACUGCAGUGAGAAAGUAACAGCUACGGUUGAAAAUUUUGUUCUCACCUGUGUGGCAGGACUGAAGUGCAGGUUUCCAGGGCAAGGUCUUGCGAUAGUCUGUCCAUGGACACACUGUAGGUACUGGCCGCAGUCGCUCUCGUGGGGGAGGAGGUGGUCGAUGCUGAAGUCGGCAGGGCAGCCGUUGGGGAGGGGCUCCCAUUCAAUGGGUUCCGUGGGG